CCUACGGGUGGCAGCAGUGAGGAAUAUUGGUCAAUGGGCGAGAGCCUGAACCAGCCAAGUCGCGUGAGGGAGUACUGCCCUAUGGGUUGUAAACCUCUUUUGUCGGGGAGCAAAAGCCGGACGUGUCCGGCUGUGAGAGUACCCGAAGAAAAAGCAUCGGCUAACUCCGUGCCAGCAGCCGCGGUAAUACGGGGGAUGCGAGCGUUAUCGGGAUUUAUUGGGUUUAAAGGGUGCGCAGGCGGAUUUUUAAGUCAGCGGUAAAAUCGUGGGGCUCAACCCCAUCCAGCCGUUGAAACUGGGGAUCUAGAGUGUGCGAGAGGUAUGCGGAAUGCGUGGUGUAGCGGUGAAAUGCAUAGAUAUCACGCAGAACCCCGAUUGCGAAGGCAGCAUACCGGUGCACAACUGACGCUCAGGCACGAAAGCGUGGGUAUCGAACAGGAUUAGAUACCCGGGUAGUC
rnacentral:rRNA from 1 species